UAGUUUCUUAAUUGGAAUCUUGUAUGAAUGGUUUGACAAGAAAAAAUCUGUCUUUAUGAUUAUUUAUUGAAUUUAACUUUUAAGUGAAAAGGCUUAAAUAAAUUAAAAAGACGAUAAGACCCUAUAAAGCUUAAUAUUAAGUCUAUUAUUUAAUAGAAUUUUAAAUAUAUAAAUAUUUGGUAAUUGAUUUUUAUUUUAUUGGGGCGAUAAUGGUAUAAAGAUUAUUAACUGUUAAUUUUUUAAAACAAAGAUAAGUGAGUACAUGUUAUUAAUUAAAUGAUCCUUUUUAAAGAUUAAAAGUUUAAGUUACUUUAGGGAUAACAGCGUUAUUUUUUUUGAGAGUUCUUAUCGAGAAAAAAGUUUGCGACCUCGAUGUUGAAUUAAAAUAUCUAUAUAAUUGUAGCAGUUAUAUAAGAAGGUCUGUUCGACCUUUAAAUUUUUA
rnacentral:rRNA from 1 species